CCCUUCGGGGGAAAGAUUUAUCGCCUUUAGAGCGGCCCGCGUCUGAUUAGCUAGUUGGUGAGGUAAUGGCUCACCAAGGCGACGAUCAGUAGCUGGUCUGAGAGGAUGACCAGCCACAUUGGGACUGAGACACGGCCCAAACUCCUACGGGAGGCAGCAGUGGGGAAUCUUGCGCAAUGGGCGAAAGCCUGACGCAGCCAUGCCGCGUGAAUGAUGAAGGUCUUAGGAUUGUAAAAUUCUUUCACCGGGGACGAUAAUGACGGUACCCGGAGAAGAAGCCCCGGCUAACUUCGUGCCAGCAGCCGCGGUAAUACGAAGGGGGCUAGCGUUGCUCGGAAUUACUGGGCGUAAAGGGCGCGUAGGCGGACAUUUAAGUCAGGGGUGAAAUCCCAGAGCUCAACUCUGGAACUGCCUUUGAUACUGGAUGUCUUGAGUGUGAGAGAGGUAUGUGGAACUCCGAGUGUAGAGGUGAAAUUCGUAGAUAUUCGGAAGAACACCAGUGGCGAAGGCGACAUACUGGCUCAUUACUGACGCUGAGGCGCG
rnacentral:rRNA from 1 species